CUGCAGAGCUUCUCCAGUAUUCUCUUGUUUCUGUUGGUCAAUCAAUCACUCUGUAAUCGAUAAAUCUCUGUGCAUUGAUCCACACAUCAACACAGUCCAUGCUGUGUUUCUCCAAUGCUACAUCUUCCAUGGCUAUGAGCUGAAAACCACAUGAGAAAUCAACUUUGCCCUGGAGGAGGAUUUCUGGAGAGGGCUUGUUGGAAUGAAUCCCACUGUCUCCAGUGAAGAGAUUUCGCCAGCCAAAACUGUUCCUGGUAAACAGCCGAGUAUUUAUGUGCCAGUUAUGACUUCAAAAGAAAUCAGGCCCCCACUCCUCAAGUUGCACUGUUGAAUACAUGUGUUCAUUCAGUUUCAAAAAUGUUCAAUUGUUUCGCCCCUGUCCUGAUCCCCAGAAUAAAAGCUUUUCACCGGGUUUCUUUAACGAACUGAAAAA